GAUGAACGCUGGCGGUAUGCUUAACACAUGCAAGUCGAACGGACUCUUCGGAGUUAGUGGCGGACGGGUGAGUAACGCGUGAGAAUCUGGCUUUGGGUUCGGGACAACCACUGGAAACGGUGGCUAAUACCGGAUGUGCCGAGAGGUAAAAGAGAAAUUGCCUGAAGAUGAGCUCGCGUCUGAUUAGCUAGUUGGUGAGGUAAAGGCUCACCAAGGCAGCGAUCAGUAGCUGGUCUGAGAGGAUGACCAGCCACACGGGGACUGAGACACGGCCCAGACUCCUACGGGAGGCAGCAGUGGGGAAUUUUCCGCAAUGGGCGAAAGCCUGACGGAGCAAUACCGCGUGAGGGAAGAAGGCUCUUGGGUUGUAAACCUCUUUUCUUAGGGAAGAACAAAAUGACGGUACCUAAGGAAUCAGCAUCGGCUAACUCCGUG
rnacentral:rRNA from 1 species